AAUAUUUUGAACCGCAUGGUUCAAAAGUGAAAGACGGUCUUGCUGUCACUUAUAGAUGGAUCCGCGCUGCAUUAGCUAGUUGGUAAGGUAACGGCUUACCAAGGCAACGAUGCAUACCCGACCUGAGAGGGUGAUCGGCCACACUGGAACUGAGACACGUUCCACACUCCUACGGGAGGCAGCAGUAGGGAAUCUUCCGCAAUGGGCGAAAGCCUGACGGAGCAACGCCGCGUGAGUGAUGAAGGUCUUCGGAUCGUAAAACUCUGUUAUUAGGGAAGAACAUAUGUGUAAGUAACUGUGCACAUCUUGACGGUACCUAAUCAGAAAGCCACGGCUAACUACGUGCCAGCAGCCGCGGUAAUACGUAGGUGGCAAGCGUUAUCCGGAAUUAUUGGGCGUAAAGCGCGCGUAGGCGGUUUUUUAAGUCUGAUGUGAAAGCCCACGGCUCAACCGUGGAGGGUCAUUGGAAACUGGAAAACUUGAGUGCAGAAGAGGAAAGUGGAAUUCCAUGUGUAGCGGUGAAAUGCGCAGAGAUAUGGAGGAACACCAGUGGCGAAGGCGACUUUCUGGUCUGUAACUGACGCUGAUGUGCGAAAGCGUGGGGAUCAAACAGGAUUAGAUACCCUGGUAGUCCACGCCGUAAACGAUGAGUGCUAAGUGUUAGGGGGUUUCCGCCCCUUAGUGCUGCAGCUAACGCAUUAAGCACUCCGCCUGGGGAGUACGACCGCAAGGUUGAAACUCAAAGGAAUUGACGGGGACCCGCACAAGCGGUGGAGCAUGUGGUUUAAUUCGAAGCAACGCGAAGAACCUUACCAAAUCUUGACAUCCUUUGACAACUCUAGAGAUAGAGCCUUCCCCUUCGGGGGACAAAGUGACAGGUGGUGCAUGGUUGUCGUCAGCUCGUGUCGUGAGAAUGUUGGGUUAAGUCCCGCAACGAGCGCAACCCUUAAGCUUAGUUGCCAUCAUUAAGUUGGGCACUCUAAGUUGACUGCCGGUGACAAACCGGAGGAAGGUGGGGAUGACGUCAAAUCAUCAUGCCCCUUAUGAUUUGGGCUACACACGUGCUACAAUGGACAAUACAAAGGGCAGCGAAACCGCGAGGUCAAGCAAAUCCCAUAAAGUUGUUCUCAGUUCGGAUUGUAGUCUGCAACUCGACUACAUGAAGCUGGAAUCGCUAGUAAUCGUAGAUCAGCAUGCUACGGUGAAUACGUUCCCGGGUCUUGUACACACCGCCCGUCACACCACGAGAGUUUGUAACACCCGAAGCCGGUGGAGUAACCUUUUAGGAGCUAGCCGUCGA
rnacentral:rRNA from 1 species